rnacentral:rRNA from 1 species
GUGGGGAAUAUUGGACAAUGGGGGGAACCCUGAUCCAGCCAUGCCGCGUGUGUGAAGAAGGCCUUUUGGUUGUAAAGCACUUUAAGCGAGGAGGAGGCUACCGAGAUUAAUACUCUUGGAUAGUGGACGUUACUCGCAGAAUAAGCACCGGCUAACUCUGUGCCAGCAGCCGCGGUAAUACAGAGGGUGCAAGCGUUAAUCGGAUUUACUGGGCGUAAAGCGCGCGUAGGUGGCCAAUUAAGUCAAAUGUGAAAUCCCCGAGCUUAACUUGGGAAUUGCAUUGGAUACUGGUUGGCUAGAGUAUGGGAGAGGAUGGUAGAAUUCCAGGUGUAGCGGUGAAAUGCGUAGAGAUCUGGAGGAAUACCGAUGGCGAAGGCAGCCAUCUGGCCUAAUACUGACACUGAGGUGCGAAAGCAUGGGGAGCAAACAGGAUUAGAAACCCGGGUAGUCC